UACGAAGGGGGCUAGCGUUGUUCGGGAUUACUGGGCGUAAAGCGCACGUAGGCGGAUAUUUAAGUCAGGGGUGAAAUCCCGGGGCUCAACCCCGGAACUGCCUUUGAUACUGGGUAUCUCGAGUCCGAGAGAGGUGAGUGGAAUUCCGAGUGUAGAGGUGAAAUUCGUAGAUAUUCGGAGGAACACCAGUGGCGAAGGCGGCUCACUGGCCCGAUACUGACGCUGAGGUGCGAAAGCGUGGGGAGCGAACAGG
rnacentral:rRNA from 1 species